UAAACCUCUUUUAUCAGGGAAGAAGUUCUGACGGUACCUGAUGAAUAAGCAUCGGCUAACUCCGUGCCAGCAGCCGCGGUAAUACGGAGGAUGCAAGCGUUAUCCGGAAUUAUUGGGCGUAAAGCGUCCGUAUGUGGUUAUGCAAGUCUGCCGUUAAAGAAUGGAGCUUAACUCCAUAGGAGCGGUGGAAACUGCAAGACUAGAGUACAGUAGGGGUAGCAGGAAUUCCCAGUGUAGCGGUGAAAUGCGUAGAUAUUGGGAAGAACAUCGGUGGCGAAAGCGUGCUACUGGGCUGAAACUGACACUGAGGGACGAAAGCUAGGGUAGCGAAAGGGAUUAGAUACCCCUGUAGUCCUAGCCGUAAACGAUGGAUACUAGGCGUGGCUUGUAUCGGCCCGAGCCGUGCCGAAGCUAACGCGUUAAGUAUCCCGCCUGGGGAGUACGCACGCAAGUGUGAAACUCAAAGGAAUUGACGGGGGCCCGCACAAGCGGUGGAGUAUGUGGUUUAAUUCGAUGCAACGCGAAGAACCUUACCAAGGCCUGACAUCCCUGGAAUCCUGCGGAAACGUGGGAGUGCCUUAGGGAGCCAGGAGACAGGUGGUGCAUGGCUGUCGCCAGCUCGUGUCGUGAGAUGUUGGGUUAAGUCCCGCAACGAGCGCAACCCUCGUUUUUAGUUGCCAUCAUUAAGUUGGGCACUCUAGAGAGACUGCCGGUGACAAACCGGAGGAAGGUGGGGAUGACGUCAAGUCAUCAUGCCCCUUACGCCUUGGGCUACACACGUACUACAAUGGUCGGGACAACGGGCAGCGAGCUCGCGAGAGUAAGCGAAUCCCAUCAAACCCGGGCCUCAGUUCAGAUUGCAGGCUGCAACUC
rnacentral:rRNA from 1 species